UCUUCUUAAUAAUGAUUCUGAGUCUUGUUUUGAGUAUGACGAUGUAAAGAGAGUGCUGUAAAAUUUCUUAACUUCUUCCGAUAUUUGUUUUAUGUCUGAACAUUCCUCACCGUUGAACAUGAGAUUGUGAAUUGCAUUUUUUUCCUGUCUUUGCUUUUCUAAUUUGAAAAAAUAUGAAGUAUUUUUUUCACCCUCUUCUAUCCAUCUUGCCCUUGAACGUAUAUAGGCUCCCUGUGCUUUAUUUUGAUAAAAUUCAUCCAAUUUAGAUUGUAAGAUGUUGAUAUUUGUUUUGUCAUCCUCAUUCCAGUCAGAUUUGUGGUAGUAUGAAAUUAAGUCUGAAAUUAAUUUAGUUUCUUCCAAUUGUUUCUCUUUUUGUAAUUUUUUACUAUAGGAAAUAGAGAAUUUCCUUACCGAGAAUUUGAGGAAUUCCCAUUUUUGUAUAGCUCCUUUUGUGGCUAGACGGAGGUUCACAAUAUGGUGAUCACUUGAAGGACUACAGGAGAUACUGGCCUCUGUACUGUGUUCAAGUAUGGAGUCUGUAACUAACCAAUAAUCAAUUCUUGAUCUUGCCUGUCCAUUCGGUUUAAACCAAGUAUACUGCCUGAUCUUAGGAUUAAAAUAUCUCCAAGCAUCAGUAAGUCUGCAUUCAUUCAUAAAGUUUCGCAUAACUGGAUUUAAAGUUGCCUGUGAAUAUUUUGAUGGGUAUCUGUCCAGCCACUCAUCUGGCGUUAAAUUAAAAUCACCCGCAACGGCAACAUGUUGAGUGGGAUAAUUUUGUUGUAGCUUCUCAAUGACUGAUGUGACCUGCUGUAAUAGCUGUUUGUUUUUCUGAUCGUUAUUGUAUCCAUAAACAUUAACAACAAUAAACAAACUGUUAUCAAUA